CACCAGAGUGAUUCCCUGUCCAAGGGGCUCAGUGUGGCCUCCUCAGAAAAGGAGCAAAUUGGAAUAAACUCUGGCUUCAGGGUGUCAGCGGAGAAGGUGAUGCUUAAAUUUCUUGGCCUUCCUUUGGCUGCCCACGUGU